ensembl:lncRNA
CCAAAGGCUGUGAAAACCUCCUUUUGGAGCCUUUACUUUUAAGAGUGCAUUAUGAGAGUUGAGAGUUGUUAGUAAAAAAGGUUUUAACCUAAUAGGUAGGUGUCACGGUGUCUGGUUUGUGUAUCCCUGGGUGUCCACUAGAGGUCUCACUUCCCCUUAUUGUCACCCCACUUUAGAACUGCAUUUCCCAUAGUCCUGUCUGUUUCAUCACUGCUCAUUGCACUCAGCUGUCCCUGGUCAUUAAUCAUUGCACUCAGCCAGUUCCUCGUUAGUAUUGUAAUCACCUGUCUAUAUAUACCUGGUUUGUUUCUGUCUGUGUCACGGAGUCCUUGUUUAAUGUUGAGUAUUAUUCUUAUCCGUCUACUCUUGCCUUGUGUUCGUGUCAUAUUUAUGUUGUUUGGAUUAUGUUUGGUUUUGACCCCUGCCUGGACUGUUUACCCUUUUGGAUUAUCCCUAAAUAAACGACUUACCUGCAAUUGGUUCUAUCACCGAUGUGUCAUUGGAUCCGUGCCGUGACAGAAGGACUCCGUCAACAUGAGAACCAGCGGUAUGUCUGCCCAGAUCUCAUCCCCAGCCACAGAGCGGGAGAGAGGCGGUUUUGAGGGAACUCGCCUGGUGAUUUUCCGGGGGACCAGGGGAGGUCGCCGAGGAGGGAGUGGCCGAGAGGAGAUUCAGCAUCGCUCUCAACCAUGGCCCCCCUUUGACCCGGGACUCCUAUGGAAUGGGUCAGAGCCACCAUCUCACCAUGGCGAGCGGAGAGGUGAGAGGAAGCACACGCCCGCCAUGGUGGCGCCACUGCCCAUGAUGGCCACCAGCUCAGAGCCUACGCCCAAGAUGGCCGCUGACUCAUUCUUGGAGUAUUUCUCCAGGCUGUCACAGACCCUGGAGGUUCCCAAGACUGUUCACAUCAAAGCUGCUGAGCCAGCGCCACAGCACAAGAUGGCCGCCAGCCCAGCGCCACAGCACAAGAUGGCCGCCAGCCCAGCGCCACAGCACGAGAGGGCCGCCAGCCCAGCACCACAGCACGAGAGGGCCGCCAGCCCAGCACCACUGCACAAGAUGGCCGAAUCUACACCUGUGUUGGCAGACAAGAUGGCUGACUCAACGCCCGAGUCUUCCGUCAAGGAGCCACCGGCACGCCAUCAUAGAGGUCGCAGGAGGAGGAGACAGGCGUCAGCCGUUCCUCAAAGCCAGGAGGACGUUCCCGAGCAGGCCGCUGCCGUCCAGAAGGACGUUCCCGAGCAGGCCGCUGCCGUCCAGGGGGACGUUCCCGAGCAGGCCGCUGCCGUCCAGGGGGACGUUCCCGAGCAGGCCGCUGCCGUCCAGGAGGACGUUCCCGAGCAGGCCGCUGCCGUCCAGGAGGACGUUCCCGAGCAGGCCGCUGCCGUCCAGGAGGACGUUCCCGAGCAGGCCGCUGCCGUCCAGGAGGACGUUCCCGAGCAGGCCGCUGCCGUCCAGGAGGACGUUCCCGAGCAGGCCGCUGCCGUCCAGGAGGACGUUCCCGAGCAGGCCGCUGCCGUCCAGGAGGACGUUCCCGAGCAGGCCGCUGCCGUCCAGGAGGACGUUCCCGAGCAGGCCGCUGCCGUCCAGGAGGACGUUCCCGAGCAGGCCGCUGCCGUCCAGGAGGACGUUCCCGAGCAGGCCGCUGCCGUCCAGGAGGACGUUCCCGAGCAGGCCGCUGCCGUCCAGGAGGACGUUCCCGAGCAGGCCGCUGCCGUCCAGGAGGACGUUCCCGAGCAGGCCGCUGCCGUCCAGGAGGACGAUCCCGAGCAGGCCGCUGUCGUCCAGGUGGACGUGCCCAAGGUUCCCGAGGCGGUGCCUGAUGCCGAAGCGGUGCCCGAUGUUGUUCCCGAUGUCGAGGCGGUGCCCGAUGUUGUUCCGGUGCCCGAGCAGGCCGCGGCCGUCCACGAGGCCCCCACA